UGCAGUCGAACGGCAGCACGGGUGCUUGCACCUGGUGGCGAGUGGCGAACGGGUGAGUAAUACAUCGGAACAUGUCCUGUAGUGGGGGAUAGCCCGGCGAAAGCCGGAUUAAUACCGCAUACGAUCUACGGAUGAAAGCGGGGGACCUUCGGGCCUCGCGCUAUAGGGUUGGCCGAUGGCUGAUUAGCUAGUUGGUGGGGUAAAGGCCUACCAAGGCGACGAUCAGUAGCUGGUCUGAGAGGACGACCAGCCACACUGGGACUGAGACACGGCCCAGACUCCUACGGGAGGCAGCAGUGGGGAAUUUUGGACAAUGGGCGAAAGCCUGAUCCAGCAAUGCCGCGUGUGUGAAGAAGGCCUUCGGGUUGUAAAGCACUUUUGUCCGGAAAGAAAUCCUUGGUUCUAA
rnacentral:rRNA from 1 species